ensembl:lncRNA
CAGGCACACCCUAAAACGUAUAAGAAGAGGUCUCAGAUGUGUAGUUUAUGGGAUGUUUCUGAUAAACUGUAGGUUUCCAUUUGAUUGGAAGGCUGAACAGGUGGUUUGGGAGAUGCGCAGUGUUGCCCAACGUCACAAUCGGUGGUGGUAUAAAUCCCCCUGGGUUUGUCCUCCUGUCAUUUAUCUUGAGAAAAGACGAAGGCAGGAAAGCUACAUUACGCGCAAUUGGUGCAGGGAAGAAACCAAUAACAAGAUGACUAAAAUGGUGAUGGCUUACAUUGGGUUCCUUCUCCUUGCCAUGCGUUUUUCGUCACAGGUCCACGCGCAAGACCCUACCACACAGUCCCCUGCCAUGAAUGCUACGACCAAAGCUGGAGGUGCGAGUUCCAACAUGACCAAGAUGCCUGAUGUCACCAAGAACAACAUUGCCAAAGGAGCCAGUGCAUCUUUGCAGUCCAGCUCCGUUGUGCUCAUCAUACCCAUCAUGGUGGGGGGCUCACUACAGGGGUGCUUCUAGAGGGCUGUUGAGCAGUGAACAGACACCAGGAAGACUUUAACAUCAGCGGCCUAGAUGGGGCAAACUGUUCUACCAAGAUAACAUUUAAAAAAUAAUAUUCAGAAAGGCAGUCAUGUUUGCACCUAACCGAAUAGAUUCGAGGGAGUUCCGUGCCAGACCAGAACCCAUUUCUACUUCACCAAUUGGAAUUGUUAUUUGCCCUCACACCUUCAAAUCAGUAAGCCUUCACACCUCACACACUGGCCCCAUGUUCAUAGGCUGAACUGUAUGGUCCUCUCCAUGGAGGCAGUCCAUGAUGAUUAUGUACUGUACGGAACUCUGCUCUUUGAACUGUUUGGUUCCUGUGUAGACACCAGGGGGUAGUUUAGUAAUUUAAGAAGUUAACAUAUCUAAAGAAAUGUUGGUUGAGGCACUUUGAAAAUAAGGUGUAAAUGAAUCUGUGGCACAUGCACGAACAGUGGCAUUUCUGCACCUGCAGUGAGUACUUUGUCAGAGGCUUGAUGUACACUUGUAAUUUAUUUCUAGAGUAUGGAAUUCUAUGAGCUAGCAUGUGAGAUUUAAUUGUAUGAAUCAUGAUGUGAUCUGCUUAGAUUUGUUUUUUUAAGGCCAGGUUCAAUAAACCUUUGAAAUGUAGGUUACUUGUGACAAUUGUCUUGUAAAAUAAAAAUACUUUAACAUAA